rnacentral:rRNA from 1 species
AUUGAACGCUGGCGGCAUGCCUUACACAUGCAAGUCGAACGGUAACAGGUCUUCGGAUGCUGACGAGUGGCGAACGGGUGAGUAAUACAUCGGAACGUGCCCGAUCGUGGGGGAUAACGAAGCGAAAGCUUUGCUAAUACCGCAUAAGAUCUACGGAUGAAAGCAGGGGAGCGCAAGGCCUUGCGCGAACGGAGCGGCCGAUGGCAGAUUAGGUAGUUGGUGGGAUAAAAGCUUACCAAGCCGACGAUCUGUAGCCGGGCUGAGAGGACGACCAGCCACACUGGGACUGAGACACGGCCCAGACUCCUACGGGAGGCAGCAGUGGGGAAUUUUGGCCAAUGGGCGAAAGCCUGAUCCAGCCAUGCCGCGUGCAGGAUGAAGGCCUUCGGGUUGUAAACUGCUUUUGUACGGAACGAAAAGACUCUUUCUAAUAAAGAGGGUCCAUGACGGUACCGUAAGAAUAAGCACCGGCUAACUACGUGCCAGCAGCCGCGGUAAUAC